UUUCCGUAGGUGAACCUGCGGAAGGAUCAUUAUCGAGUUUUGACUGGGAUGUAGCUGGCCUUCCGUCCCUUGCGUACGCCCUGCUCAUUAACUCCACACCUGUGCACUUAUUGCUUGUAUAAGAACGUGAUGCGUGCUCUUUUACCUGUGCUAGAGAAGCUUAUGUGUGCCUGCUAUUAUUAUAAACACCAUAUAGUACUAGAAACAGCAUUACGAUGUAACGCAUCUACAUACAACUUCCAGCAACGGAUCACUUGCCUCCCGCAUCGCUGAAGAAAC
rnacentral:misc_RNA from 1 species